rnacentral:piRNA from 4 species
CCAAAAAUAUAAGAGUUCGGUUCC